rnacentral:rRNA from 1 species
GACGAACGCUGGCGGCGUGCCUAACACAUGCAAGUCGAACGAGGCCUUCGGGUCUGGUGGCGGACGUGUGCGUGACGCGGUGGAACCUACCCUUAGGUUCUGAAUAACGCCCCGGAAGGGGUGCUAAUACCGGGGAAUGUCUUCGGACCAAAGAUUUAUCGCCUUUGGAUGGGCCCGCGUUGGAUUAGUGAGUUGGUAGGGUAAAAGCCUACCAAGGAGACGUUCCAUAGCUGGUCUGAGAGGAUGAUCAGCCACACUGGGACUGAGACACGGACCAGACCGCGACGGGAGGGAGCAGUAGGGAAUAUUGGACAAGGGGCGAAAGCCUGACCCAGCAAUGCCGCGGGAGAGAUGAAGGCCUUAGGGUUGUACAGCUCUUUUACACGGGAUGAUAAUGACAGUACCGGGAGAAUAAGCUCCGGCUAACUCCGUG